GAUGAACGCUGGCGGCGUGCCUAAUACAUGCAAGUCGAGCGAAUGGAUUAAGAGCUUGCUCUUAUGAAGUUAGCGGCGGACGGGUGAGUAACACGUGGGUAACCUGCCCAUAAGACUGGGAUAACUCAGGGAAACCGGGGCUAAUACCGGAUAACAUCUUGAACCGCAUGGUUCGAAAUUGAAAGGCGGCUUCGGCUGUCACUAGUGGAUUGACCCGCGUCGCAUUAGCUAGUUGGUGAGGUAACGGCUCACCAAGGCAACGAUGCGUAGCCGACCUGAGAGGGUGAUCGGCCACACUGGGACUGAGACACGGCCCAGACUCCUACGGGAGGCAGCAGUAGGGAAUCUUCCGCAAUGGACGAAAGUCUGACGGAGCAACGCCGCGUGAGUGAUGAAGGCUUUCGGGUCGUAAAACUCUGUUGUUAGGGAAGAACAAGUGCUAGUUGAAUAAGCUGGCACCUUGACGGUACCUAACCAGAAAGCCACGGCUAACUACGUGCCAGCCGCCGCGGUAA
rnacentral:rRNA from 1 species